GAUGAACGCUGGCGGCGUGCCUAAUACAUGCAAGUCGAGCGAACGGACGAGAAGCUUGCUUCUCUGAUGUUAGCGGCGGACGGGUGAGUAACACGUGGAUAACCUACCUAUAAGACUGGGAUAACUUCGGGAAACCGGAGCUAAUACCGGAUAAUAUUUUGAACCGCAUGGUUCAAAAGUGAAAGACGGUCUUGCUGUCACUUAUAGAUGGAUCCGCGCUGCAUUAGCUAGUUGGUAAGGUAACGGCUUACCAAGGCAACGAUGCAUAGCCGACCUGAGAGGGGGAUCGGCCAAACUGGAACUGAGACACGGUCCAGAAUCCUACGGGAGGCAACAGGAGGGAAUCUUCCGGCAUGGGGGAAAGCCUGACGGAGCAACGCCGGGUGAGUGAAGAAGGUCUUCGGAUCGUAAAACUCUGUUAAUAGGGAAGAACAUAUGUGUAAGUAACUGUGCACCUCUUGACGGUACCUAAUCCGAAAGGCACGGCUAACUUCGUG
rnacentral:rRNA from 1 species